rnacentral:lncRNA from 1 species
AUGAACUAUAAACUUUAAACAGUUGGAGAACACACCACAAUAAAAUUUCAAAUAUUCAAGUAUUUAAAUGCUAUUCAUUUCCACAAUCCAAGACCAGAAUUUCUUUCCUCUGAUUCUAGUUCUUUGAAGAAACCUUGUAUACUUGUUAUAGAAAAGGCUAAAGUUACACAACAAAAUACAUUAACAUGACAAAGAGGCAUCAUCUGUAUUGUGCAGGCAACCGGUAACCUGGCAAGACUAAUUUAUCAGCGAACAUUUUGCCAGUCUUUGGCAUGACAUGCCAGUGCAAAGUUAAGUUGAAUUCUUUACCACGCAGAUUGCUUCCCUGGACACGAAAAAUGGCAUAAAUAAGGCUUAAUGAAAUUUAAAGCAAUUCAGAUUAGAUAAAAUAUUCUUGAAGAGUUAAAUACCUGAUCAACGAAACGGUAUUUAUUUGAUGUGUGAAUUGUAAACUUUGCGUGCUCUUUAGUCGGAAUGAUGGCAUCCCAGAGGGAUAUCUGUAAAAUUGCAUAUCAAGAGUUUAAGAAAUAGGAUACAACAUAUACAUGACAGAUGCAUGCAGCAUAAAUACCGUAAACAAACAUUGAAGCUGCCACCUCAACAAUGGAAAUUUGAGAUCCACCAACCAAUCUAUUACCAUGACGUUCUUCUAUCUAUUCUCUCUUUCGAAAAAGGAGCUGGCAAGUUUAAAAUUUAAGGGUCUGUAAACUUUUAAAAACUAUUUUCGAUUUUCAUUUUCUAAAAUUUGUGUUGAAUUUAAAUUGCUGCCACGGAGAUGAAGUGAACAAUUAUGAUGGGAAAAAUAUGGAAGACAAGCUAGGAAGAAUGCAUUUUCAGAAACAAUAGAAACAGUGUUUUGGCAUUCUUCAAAAUUUCUGAAAAUACUAUAUCUACUUUUGAAAACUGUGAGAAAUAUUGGAUCUGUAUUCUAAGAUGUUUAUUAGUUGAAGUGAAAUCGAAAUAAGAAACCUGGACAAUGACCGGGCCCUAUGUGUGUAUUUCAGCAGAAUAUGCAAACUAGCUAAGUAACCCUCAUGUGUGUAUUUCAACUGAUCCAAACUAGCUAACUAACCUGAUUUAGGGGAUGCUUUGGAGUUUCAUAUUCAGCAGCUAAAAAUGCAAAAACCUGCAAGCAUAGAAAAGAAGCAAAACUAAGUCCGUGUACAUCCCCAAAACACUACGAUGGGUGAAACCCAAGUGCGUAUUAAAUUCACGAUACAACAAGAUAUGCAAAAUUAGUUUCCAUACUUCCCAUCCGUACCUGAUAAUUAACUUAUUGCUUUUAUAUACUUUUCAGAAAGGAAAAAAAAAAAAUGUGAAAAUGCAAAUUGAAGUCACGAACCUGUUUUGUGUUCCAUGUAAAAAGGGUUUGUAAAUCUGCUGAUAUAUUAAGUGUCAAGUAAACCUGCAUGAAUAGAAAGGCUCACGCUUCAGAUAGGUAAGCAGUAUGAAUUUUGGUAAAAUAGUUACGGGAAUAUAUAUAGGUAACAAAGCGACAAAGGAGUGAAUCAAAGGGUUAAAAUGCAAGUUACUUCCUAGCCAAAUAGCCUUUGCUAUGAUACCAAAACAUUACUUCAGCUCAGAUUACAAGUCAUUUUGUGCUUACUUAUGCAGAAAUUUUGUUAACUACAGACAUGCUGUCAUGAUUCGAUUCAGACAUAAUGAUUUGGAGGUUUGACAAGACAGUUGGCAGUUUAAACUUCCAGUUAUAUACCUCAAGCCCAGGAUACUAUUAAGCUAAAUAGGCAAUCUGUAUAACUGAUUUCCAAUCACCCAAGUUACUGUCAUACCAGUCCUGAAUUUCUAUUUCUAAGUUGUUUUGACAAGUUCAAAAGCCAAGCCAUAAGUAAUAUAAAAGUGCCUAAGAUUAAUGAGUUCGGGUAUGCUCCAUUUACUCCAUUUAGGGUUUAGAUGCAAGACAUGUGGCAAAAAAAUAUAUAACGGUUGAGAUUUUAAAUUAAAAAACAAAUAUUUGUUUAAUAAAAAUACAUAAUAAUAACAAACAAAUCAUGUUCCCUUCUUCUCUCAUAUCGCAACAACCUUUAUUAUUUUUUAAUUUAAAAUCUCAACUGUUAGAUAUAUUUUUGCCACAUGUCUUGCAUCCAAACCCUAAAUGGAGUAAAUGGAGCCUAGCCUAAAUGGAGCAUACCCGAACUCAAGAUUAAGACGGCAGAAGUGUUAAACCAGAUAAGCUUUUGAGAUGAAACUUUCUCAGACAGUUUUGUUAUCCGUCUGCAAAACCUGAGGUCAAUGGUGCAGUAUAGCUCAGUCUGGAUCAUGAGGACCAAAUCUUGACUUUUAAAGCUUUAUUAGAGACUACGAUGCACAAAAUCUGGUAAGACCAAAGGGACCCUGUAUACCAGAAUUUUGGUCAAUGGAACAAGUAUAACUCAGGUCAGCCCCUUAUUUGUAAUUCAACACUAAAAAGAAAGUCAAUUGAGGGAAUAUUAUAGAAGUCACACCCAUGAAAGGAGUUUGGAUCUUAGAUUUGAUAUACAAAUUUUAUAUGUUAAAAAAAGGAGCCCUUUCUAGAUAUAUUAAGAUCAAACAGACUUUGGAAUCUCAUCUCAUAUACAUACAAGUCUAAAUGGAAGGUUUAGAGAAAAUAAGGAUAAGCAGGCCUUCAGAAAUUAAGCAAGCCUUCAGAAAUCAAACUUAAGGGAAAUACAAACCCUAACCAUUUAGCAGCAGCUAAAGAGCUAUUUUUCUGCAAUUUGCGUCUGCUAAACCGCUGGAUAGCCAGUGUUGUUAGGCACCACAAACGGGACAUUUCCGCUCAGCUAUAGAUUCACUAUUCACAACAAAGCAACCUAUGUGAGGGUUUAUAAUGGAAUUUACCCAUAACCUAUGAUCAGAGAAAUUUCAGAUUUGAACUCAAGUCACAGUAAAUCUGAGCAAAAGAUCAGACCAUAUGUUCAUCGGUGUGUGUUUCUAUUCUAACAGUAGAGAAGGCAAAGAAUGACAUUCCCCCCUAUUCAUUAUAUCCAGAUUUCAUACCCUCAAACACAUACAUUCCUUUCUCCUUUGAAUUCUUUCACAAACACCCAUCCAUCAAGUAGAGUGAGAUAAUUGACUAAACUGAAUUCUUCUCCAUGUAAUCCGUCUCUUCCAUAGGAUUCUUUCAUCAUUAAUGUUUCCUCUCUUUUUCCCCUUCACUAAAUUCCCUUUUCAAUAUAAUUCUAGCACAUCACAAUAUGAAUUGAAUUUCCACCUAUCACUCUCAUAAUUAUGAAACUUAUUACGCUUAUACAAAAGUAUACAAUCAUUUUGGUCCUUAAAUAUGUGAGACCAUGUCACAAUAGUCUCUAAAUUUAUCAAAUUUACAUAAACAUACAUAAAUGCAUCUCUCGGUGAUCAAUUUGAUCCUCACGUGUCUUUUAUUAGUUAGUUUGAUCCUCAAGUAUGUCUUUGGUUGGUCGAUUUUUUGUCCUCAAAUUUGUCUUCGGUUAGUCAAUUUUGUGUCUAAAACUACCAACAACAACCUUAGGGGUAUUUUAAGAGUAAAUCUUGAUUUUGGACCCUAAACGUGUGAGACGGUGUCAAAACUGUCCCAGAAUGCAUUAUAAUUAUAAGACAUCCCGUAGUGUAUCUUUUCUAUGUAAUUUCAAGGACUAAAUUGACUAUUGACUAAGGGCUUGUUUAGGUUGUCUUAUUUGCGCUUAUCUACUGGCAUAAAUACUUGUGAUACUGUUUGGAGAACCUAUGAAAACAUCGUAUAACAUUCAAAAGCUGUUUUCGGGUUACUUUCAUAAGUUCUCUUUUGCUAUAGAAAUAGGUUAUACGUAGGCACUUAUCAUCAUAAGCGCAGAUGCUACAAGCUGCAAAUUAAGGCAUUUAUCCAAACAAAGCCUUAACAAAAAACGUAUUCAACAACCAAACUAGCUAAUUCUGUAAUUUUAGCUUAUCAUUUACACAUUCUAGGAUAAUUUUGUAAUUUUCAUACAUUCAAAGACUAUAUUGACAAUGACCGACUUAUCUCAGGACCAAAAAACCAAAAUAUCUGUUCACUCAAAUAUUUUUUUAACUUCAAUACAUCCAGGCUAUCAACCAACACCGGAUACGACACUGACACAUCAACACCGACAAUAAUUUGAAGGAAAAAAAAAAAAUUGAAUGCAAUCACAUGCUCAGGUGUCGUGUCAGUGUCAGACCAGGAUCAAAAUAAUUGAAAGAUGAAUUACCUCGUCAUUGCCGUUGGGCUGUUUCUGAAACCAGUUAACAUUCAACACCUACACAUCCACACAAACACGCAUAUAAAUUUAAGAACAAGUGAAUUCUCAAUUUAGUCCCUCACAAUUUUCUCUCAGACAUUUUUAUAUCAAGGACAAAUUAGUCUAUUUAUUAUAAUAAAUCAGAAACUAAUUCGUGCUCGGUAUAAAAAUGUCUGAGAAAAUUGCGAGUGAGUGAUAUAGAGAGAGGGAGAGAAGUACCUGGACUUGAACAGAAGGAGAUGGAGAAUUGAGAGUAUCAGUGAAAGAAGCGAUUGCACAGAUGAAACCAAGAAUCGUAACCGCAAAGGUGAACAAAGCGUUC